rnacentral:rRNA from 1 species
GGGCGUAGCAAGUACGGUCAGCGGCAGACGGGUGAGUAACGCGUGGGAACGUACCUUUUGGUUCGGAACAACACAGGGAAACUUGUGCUAAUACCGGAUAAGCCCUUACGGGGAAAGAUUUAUCGCCGAAAGAUCGGCCCGCGUCUGAUUAGCUAGUUGGUGAGGUAACGGCUCACCAAGGCGACGAUCAGUAGCUGGUCUGAGAGGAUGAUCAGCCACAUUGGGACUGAGACACGGCCCAAACUCCUACGGGAGGCAGCAGUGGGGAAUAUUGGACAAUGGGCGCAAGCCUGAUCCAGCCAUGCCGCGUGAGUGAUGAAGGCCCUAGGGUUGUAAAGCUCUUUUGUGCGGGAAGAUAAUGACGGUACCGCAAGAAUAAGCCCCGGCUAACUUCGUGCCAGCAGCCGCGGUAAUACGAAGGGGGCUAGCGUUGCUCGGAAUCACUGGGCGUAAAGGGUGCGUAGGCGGGUCUUUAAGUCAGGGGUGAAAUCCUGGAGCUCAACUCCAGAACUGCCUUUGAUACUGAAGAUCUUGAGUUCGGGAGAGGUGAGUGGAACUGCGAGUGUAGAGGUGAAAUUCGUAGAUAUUCGCAAGAACACCAGUGGCGAAGGCGGCUCACUUGGGCC